AUGUCUGCGCUAAAAGUCUUUGACGUUUUAUCUGCGUGCGACCGUUACGUAUAUCUGGAGAAAAUGUUAUCCACCCGUAAACGAAACGUUACUCUUUUCAUGUCGGAAAGUGACGAGCUUUUUAGAACGUCCCAAGUGGCCCUGAGUUGGUUAAAAAAAUCACUCCCUGGUGCGAUAUUAGAUUGUGUUAUGAAAUUUAACGAGAAGAUAUUCCAAGCUGGUGGCACGGUGUCAUUCAAGUUUGUCGGAGGGCUGACCAAGAUCGUUGUCAAACUGCCAGACGUCGCAUCUGAGGAAUCGAACAACAAUGCUCCGCAAAUGAAAUCUCAUAGGAAAGGUUUCUUCAUGUUGAAAAUUUCACCAACUACGAAGCUGCGCUGUAGAUCUGUUGAAACGGUUGAAAUGCUCAUAGACAAGCUCCCAGCCGAAAUUCUUAGAUGUAUUCAUGAGAAUAUAUCGCGAGUUUCGCAAGCCGGGGGGUAUGUGAAAUUUUCUUUCAAGGCGGAUCAAACUCAAAUUCUGGUGAGCCUCCCCUCGGAUUUUUUCGCUACUGAAUCACCAAAAAAACCACCAUCAAGGAUGCGCGCGAUUUCUACAGAUUUAAACGAUGAGAGAGACUGCGCCCUUUUGGUUUCAGUUACAGACGCCCCGCUGAAUGCGCUCGAUCGGGCUGUCCCCCACUGAGCCCGACGUUGCCGAAUUUCGCAGGAUUUUGGUGUUGAAUAUUAGUUUUAUCGCUGAAAAUGGCAACGUGGGGCUUUUAGAGUCAACUCCUACGGGGCCGGCCGUCCCCGCGGUUAGCGACGAACAAUGUUAGUUUUUGUAGUGCUCGAUUUAGGGGGUGGAGUCCGCUAAUCUAAUUACAUUUAUUUUAUUUCCUACGGCCUCUUUUAUUCUCGCUUUCAUUUUUGUAUUUUUGCUCCCCACCCCCCGCCCCACGGUUCGGUUGAUCGACAAUGGUUCUUUUACAAUGAUCGCUUCCGUGAAUGGAGGAGCGCUUGCGUCACAGAGCGAACUGUUUUCGCCGCUGUUGCAUUUUUUUGCGAAUUUGUUGUUUUUUUUUUUAUAUAGUGCAGGCUUACUAAUUCGAAAUUGAAAGGGACCAUAAAUUAUUUUGAGAGGGGUUUUGAAUUAGUAAGAUUCAUUCAGGGUAGUCAAAGUAAAUUCGAAAUUAUGAAAUUUUUAAAUACAUAUAUUUUACACAAGUAGAACUUGAGGUCAAUGUCUGUCAAGGUAUAUGUAAUGAUAUACAAUAAAAUGAUUAAUAUAAUUGAAUAAUAAUAUUUUAUGAAUUGUUAAUUUGACGUAGUGUAACAAAUUUAAAAAAAGUCAAGUUUCUCGUAUGCACUACUUAGGUACUUACAUCAAUUAAGCACAUAGAUGAAAACAAUAUUCUUCUUGUCGGUAAAAUACAUUAAAUUUACAAAAUUAGGUGACGGCAUUAUCAAAUAAUUUGCUGUUCUCUAUUUCCUUUACGUCCACAGAAGGUCGUUUUAAAUACAGACGCACGUAUGUACACAUAAAUUAAAUUUCGGGUAUUUUUUAUUGAGUCCUCGUAUAGGUUGAGUUUCCUCACGGUCUGUUUGUUUUACACCUUUUACAAAGCGGGAUUAAUGAGUGUUAUCCAAGUAGGCAACUAUUCGUGUUCUCCUGUAUGUUUGUUGCCUAAAUAGCAAAAUUGAAGGCGGCCUUCAGAUGAACAACCCUCACCACCGGACUAACAACAUCGUUUUUCGGUUCAAUCGAGGCUUAUGGAGC
rnacentral:lncRNA from 1 species